GACGAACGCUGGCGGCGUGCUUAACACAUGCAAGUCGAACGGUGAAAGCGGAGCUUGCUCCGCUGGAUCAGUGGCGAACGGGUGAGUAACACGUGGGCAACCUGCCCCUCACUUCGGGAUAACUCCGGGAAACCGGGGCUAAUACCGGAUAUGACCUCCUUGGGCAUCCUUGGAGGUGGAAAGUUUUUCGGUGAGGGAUGGGCCCGCGGCCUAUCAGCUUGUUGGUGAGGUAGUGGCUCACCAAGGCGACGACGGGUAGCCGGCCUGAGAGGGCGACCGGCCACACUGGGACUGGGACACGGCCCAGACUCCUACGGGGGGCAGCAGUGGGGAAUAUUGCGCAAUGGGCGAAAGCCUGACGCAGCAACGCCGCGUGCGGGAUGACGGCCUUCGGGUUGUAAACCGCUUUCAGCAGGGAAGAAGCCGCAAGGUGACGGUACCUGCAGAAGAAGCACCGGCUAACUACGUGCCAGCCGCCGCGGUAA
rnacentral:rRNA from 1 species